rnacentral:piRNA from 1 species
CCGGUUCUCUGGCGCACCCU